GGGGUUGUAGGUUAAAUAGACCAUAGGUUUUCAAAACCUAGAGUGUGAGAAAAUCACCAACCCUU
rnacentral:tRNA from 1 species